rnacentral:rRNA from 1 species
AACGAACGCUGGCGGCAUGCCUAACACAUGCAAGUCGAACGAGACCUUCGGGUCUAGUGGCGCACGGGUGCGUAACGCGUGGGAACCUGCCCUUAGGUUCGGAAUAACUCCCCGAAAGGGGUGCUAAUACCGGAUAAUGUCUUCGGACCAAAGAUUUAUCGCCUUUGGAUGGGCCCGCGUUGGAUUAGCUAGUUGGUAGGGUAAAAGCCUACCAAGGCGACGAUCCAUAGCUGGUCUGAGAGGAUGAUCAGCCACACUGGGACUGAGACACGGCCCAGACUCCUACGGGAGGCAGCAGUGGGGAAUAUUGGACAAUGGGCGAAAGCCUGAGCCAGCAAUGCCGCGUGAGUGAUGAAGGCCUUAGGGUUGUAAAGCUCUUUUACCCGGGAUGAUAAUGACAGUACCGGGAGAAUAAGCUCCGGCUAACGCCG